rnacentral:rRNA from 1 species
AGCUCCAAUAGCGUAUAUUAAAGUUGUUGCAGUUAAAAAGCUCGUAGUUGGAUUUGUGGUUCGUCCCGCCGGCUGGGUCAUUGACUUUUGCUGUGCUGGUCGUCCAUCCUUGGGUGGAAUCUGUGUGGCAUUAGGUUGUCGCGCAGGGGAUGCCCAUCGUUUACUGUGAAAAAAUUAGAGUGUUCAAAGCAGGCUUAUGCCGUUGAAUAUAUUAGCAUGGAAUAAUGAUAUAGGACCUUGGUACUAUUUUGUUGGUUUGCGCACUGAGGUAAUGAUUAAUAGGGACAGUUGGGGGUAUUCGUAUUCCAUUGUAAGAGGUGAAAUUCUUGGAUUUUUGGAAGACGAACUACUGCGAAAGCAUUUACCAAGGAUGUUUUCAUUAAUCAAGAACGAAAGUACG